rnacentral:rRNA from 1 species
CAAUAGCGUAUAUUUAAGUUGUUGCAGUUAAAAAGCUCGUAGUUGGAUUUCGGUUAAGAGCGACCGGUCCGCCGUUUGGUGUGCACUGGUUGGUUUUAACUUCCUGUAGAGGACGUGCUCUGGGUUUAACGACCUGGACUCGGAGUCUACGUGGUUACUUUGAAAAAAUUAGAGUGUUCAAAGCGGGCUUACGCUUGAAUAUUUCAGCAUGGAAUAACACUAUAGGACUCCUGUCCUAUUUCGUUGGUCUCGGGACGGGAGUAAUGAUUAAGAGGAACAGUUGGGGGCAUUCGUAUUUCAUUGUCAGAGGUGAAAUUCUUGGAUUUAUGAAAGACGAACUUCUGCGAAAGCAUUCGCCAAGGAUGUUUUCAUUAA